GAUUUCUGGCUUGAAACAUUUGGCCGGCCACGGUUUCGUGUGUUAGUGCUUUGUGUUCUGGCCAUCCUUCCAAUCGCUAUACACCUUUCUUCAUUGAUUGGUGUGUGGUAUUGGAUCUUUUACUUUGAAAAAAUUAGAGUGUUUCAAGCAGGCUUUAUGCCAUGAAUACAUUAGCAUGGAAUAAUAAUUUAGGACUUUGGUCUUAUUUUAUUGGUUUCUAGGACUAGAGUAAUGAUUGAUAGGGACAGUUGGGGGUGCUAGUAUUCAGCGGCCAGAGGUGAAAUUCUUGGAUUCGCUGAAGACUAACCUAUGCGAAAGCAUU
rnacentral:rRNA from 1 species